GUAGGUGGCAAGCGUUGUCCGGAACUAUUGGGCGUAAAGCGCGCGCAGGUGGGUUCUUUAAGUCUGAUGUGAAAGCCCCCGGGCUCAACCGGGGAGGGUCAUUGGAAACUGGGGAACUUGAGUGCAGGAGAGGAAAGUGGAAUUCCACGUGUAGCGGUGAAAUGCGUAGAUAUGUGGAGGAACACCAGUGGCGAAGGCGACUUUCUGGCCUGUAACUGACACUGAGGCGCGAAAGCGUGGGGAGCAAACAGGAUUAGAUACCCUGGUAGUCCACGCCGUAAACGAUGAGUGCUAAGUGUUGGGGGGUUUCCGCCCCUCAGUGCUGCAGCUAACGCAUUAAGCACUCCGCCUGGGGAGUACGGCCGCAAGACUG
rnacentral:rRNA from 1 species